CACACUUUUCAUUAAUACACUAUUUAAAAAUUCAUUCUUUCCAAAGAAUGUGGCCAAAACAAGGGCAAAGUCUUGAUACGGCCGUAUAUAGCUCUCCUCGGCCAAUUCUAGGUCCUAGGAGACCCUCUUAACAUCGGCCACAAGAGAAGCUUUCCUAGUAGCUAAAAUUUCUGCACUCUUACCUGUCUCUUUAGAUUUGGCUCUUUCCUUCUAGCUGUCCCUAAUUUUCUUCAAAGAGUUUUACACCUCUUCUUCAAAGAGUUAACCUUCUUGCCAAGCUGCCAGCCAGCAAAACAUAAGCAUCGUACUCAGUCUACUAAUUGUGAUGUAGAACAACAGCUCACACGAGACGGUCGUGAAUCAUUUCUUUCCUUUGAGCAGAGGUAAGCUCCUCUACGAACCUCUUCUAAGACUGAUUAAAAUAAGCAUAUGUAGAUCGUGCUAUCCUGGAAACAAAAUGAGGAAACGUCGAGAAAAUAUCAAAUCUAAUUCCUCAUUUUGUGACGAGAUUAAUAAAGAUUUAGGAUCAGGGGAAAAAUCGUCGUAAGAAGCAGGAUGCUUUAGGAUCCGUCAUUGGCUUGAAUCCAUUCGGUGCCUCUAUCUUCCCUUCAGAUAUAUCCCUAACUCGAGAAGACUUCAAUACUCUAUCUUCCUAGGAGGGUAGAGGUCACCUAGUUGAACCUCCAGCAGCCCGCGAAGACAUACUCUCAGAACUCCUCGAUCUGUCGGGGAUUGGUUCCUUAGAAGGGGGAGGUACGAAAGUUUUUUUUGGCUCUUAGAGGCUACCAAAGGAUUUGUACUACGAUCAAUUUGUACUCAAGAAAAAAGUAGAAUCAGAUAUUAUUUAAAAAUAGAAAAGUUAAGAAGCAAGAAAUGACACGGCCUAUCUUGAAUCAUCCUAGUGGACUUGAAAUGUGACGUGCAUCGAUGAUAGAAGCUGACUAGAUGUCAAAUCUAUCACCAAAGCUGACUAUGAGUUUUUUCAAAAAAUACAUCAAAAUCAAAUGUUUAUGUAAAACAUAAUGCGAUGGGCUCAAAUUAUUUAUUUCGUGCUUUAUCAAUAUGAGUUAUAGCACUCAACAUGUCGUGUGGCUCUCAUUCCAAAAUCAUUAGGCUCUCCCAA
rnacentral:lncRNA from 1 species